CCUACGGGAGGCAGCAGUGAGGAAUAUUGGACAAUGGGCGCAAGCCUGAUCCAGCCAUGCCGCGUGCAGGAUGACGGUCCUAUGGAUUGUAAACUGCUUUUAUACAGGAAGAAACACCUCUACGUGUAGAGACUUGACGGUACUGUAAGAAUAAGGAUCGGCUAACUCCGUGCCAGCAGCCGCGGUAAUACGGAGGAUCCAAGCGUUAUCCGGAAUCAUUGGGUUUAAAGGGUCCGUAGGCGGUUUAGUAAGUCAGUGGUGAAAGCCCAUCGCUCAACGGUGGAACGGCCAUUGAUACUGCUAGACUUGAAUUAUUAGGAAGUAACUAGAAUAUGUAGUGUAGCGGUGAAAUGCUUAGAGAUUACAUGGAAUACCAAUUGCGAAGGCAGGUUACUACUAAUUGAUUGACGCUGAUGGACGAAAGCGUGGGUAGCGAACAGGAUUAGAUACCCUGGUAGUCCACGCCGUAAACGAUGGAUACUAGCUGUUGGGAGCAAUCUCAGUGGCUAAGCGAAAGUGAUAAGUAUCCCACCUGGGGAGUACGAACGCAAGUUUGAAACUUAAAGGAAUUGAGG
rnacentral:rRNA from 1 species